AACGAACGCUGGCGGCGUGCCUAACACAUGCAAGUCGAACGGAUGUAGCAAUACAUUAGUGGCGCACGGGUGAGUAAUGCAUGGGAGACCUGCCCUAUGGAGAUGGAUAGCUACGGGAAACUGUAGAUAAUAAGUCGUAAGCAAUAUUGUAGCAAGACAGUAUUGGAAAAGUCAGGACCGCAAGGCCGAUUGCCAUUGGAGGGGCCCAUGUCCCAUUAGCUAGUUGGUAGGGUAAAAGCCAACCAAGGCGAAGAUGGGUAGCUGGUCUGAGAGGAUGAUCAGCCACACUGGAACUGAGACACGGUCCAGACUCCUACGGGAGGCAGCAGUGGGGAAUAUUGCGCAAUGGGCGAAAGCCCGACGCAGCAACGCCGCGUGAGUGAAGAAGGCCUUUGGGUUGUAAAGCUCUUUCGGCCGGGAAGAAGGGUAUUGGUGUUAAUAGUAUCGAUAUUUGAUGGUACCGGAAGAAGAAGCACCGGCUAACUUCGUGCCAGCAGCCGCGGUAA
rnacentral:rRNA from 1 species